GUGAAAAGUCUGACUUCAGUAGCCCAUUGGACAGGGAAUCCUACACCUUCCAUCCACUCAGUUAAAUAAUAAGCAGAUUUAAAAGAAUCACAGAAUAUGCCUCUGGACCUGACAUGAUUCUUUGCAUCGCUUCGCUAAGGUGGCACAGCUCUGAAACACCAAUGUCGAGAGUGUAUCCAGACAGCACAAGAAUGGCUGCUUUUGAACACUGGUGUGAUGAGUGAACCAGU